rnacentral:tRNA from 1 species
GGAGAUGUAGCUCACUAGUAGAGCAUAAGCUUUGCAUGCAUAAGGCCCUGGGUUUGAUCCCCAAUAUCAUAA